UAGGGAAUCUUCGGCAAUGGGGGCAACCCUGACCGAGCAACGCCGCGUGAGUGAAGAAGGUUUUCGGAUCGUAAAGCUCUGUUGUAAGAGAAGAACGUGUGUGAGAGUGGAAAGUUCACACAGUGACGGUAACUUACCAGAAAGGGACGGCUAACUACGUGCCAGCAGCCGCGGUAAUACGUAGGUCCCGAGCGGUGUCCGGAUUUAUUGGGCGUAAAGCGAGCGCAGGCGGUUUAAUAAGUCUGAAGUUAAAGGCAGUGGCUUAACCAUUGUUCGCUUUGGAAACUGUUAAACUUGAGUGCAGAAGGGGAGAGUGGAAUUCCAUGUGUAGCGGUGAAAUGCGUAGAUAUAUGGAGGAACACCGGUGGCGAAAGCGGAUCUCUGGUCUGUAACUGACGCUGAGGCUCGAAAGCGUGGGGAGCAAACAGG
rnacentral:rRNA from 1 species